rnacentral:rRNA from 1 species
AAUCAACGCUGGCGGCGUGCCUAACACAUGCAAGUCGAACGAGAAAGUGGAGCAAUCCAUGAGUAAAGUGGCGCACGGGUGAGUAACACGUGACUAACCUGCCCUUGAGUGGGGAAUAACUAGGAGAAAUCUUAGCUAAUACCGCAUAACACCUACGGGUCAAAGGAGCAAUUCGCUUAAGGAGGGGGUCGCGGCAGAUUAGCUAGUUGGCGGGGUAACGGCCCACCAAGGCGGUGAUCUGUAUCCGGCCUGAGAGGGCGCACGGACACACUGGAACUGAAACACGGUCCAGACUCCUACGGGAGGCAGCAGUGGGGAAUUUUGCGCAAUGGGGGAAACCCUGACGCAGCAACGCCGCGUGGAGGAUGAAGUCCCUUGGGACGUAAACUCCUUUCGAUCGGGACGAUUAUGACGGUACCGGAAGAAGAAGCCCCGGCUAACUUCGUGCCAGCAGCCGCGGUAAU